CCUACGGGAGGCAGCAGUGAGGAAUAUUGGUCAAUGGGCGCUAGCCUGAACCAGCCAAGUAGCGUGAAGGAUGACUGCCCUAUGGGUUGUAAACUUCUUUUAUAUGGGAAUAAAGUGCAGUAUGUAUACUGCUUUGCAUGUACCUUAUGAAUAAGGAUCGGCUAACUCCGUGCCAGCAGCCGCGGUAAUACGGAGGAUUCGAGCGUUAUCCGGAUUUAUUGGGUUUAAAGGGAGCGUAGGCGGGUUGUUAAGUCAGUUGUGAAAGUUUGCGGCUCAAACGUAAAAUUGCGGUUGAUACUGGCAGCCUUGAGUAGAGUAGAGGUAGGCGGAAUUCGUGGUGUAGCGGUGAAAUGCUUAGAUAUCACGAAGAACUCCGAUUGCGAAGGCAGCCUGCUGGACUGUAACUGACGCUGAUGCUCGAAAGUGUGGGUAUCAAACAGGAUUAGAUACCCCGGUAGUC
rnacentral:rRNA from 1 species